CCAUGACACCAUUUCUAAAUAAGGUCACAUUCUGAGGUUCUGGGAAGGAUAUCAGUCCUGGAGAUUUGGUGGCAGCAAUGAGAUCGAAGUGAACUUCUGUCAGCAUUUGGGGACAAUGAGAAGGGACACCCUGAGAAGACUUUUGAGUUCAUGGUCUUUCCCACCAUUUCCUGGAGCUAUUGGUGGGCCAAGCCUAACUGGGACAGAAGCAUACCGAGGGCUGGCUCCAGGAGGCAAUGUUCUGCGGCACCGUGACCUUGGCUCAGCAAUAGCAGCUGUGGAGUGGGCCUGAGGGUGGCAGUAGCAGCCAGGAAGCACAUUACACCUGUCCUAACCUCAAGAUGGCCACAGCCACCCAACCUUCAGCAUCCACCACCACCCUCAUCAGUCAGCAGCCAUCAACAUCAAGAGAAGACCUCCCCCACCACCAGCAAAAGGAUUACAACUCCCUGAAAGCUCAGUUUUAGAGACUGGAAGUCUGAGAUCAAUGUGCCAGCAUGGUCAAGUUCUGAUGAGGACUCUCUGCUGGGUUACAGACUGCUGUCUUCUUGUUGCAUCCUCACAUGAACAAAGGUCAUGAUCACUCCAUUACUUGGCGGUCAAGAUUAGAUAGAAGAGUGAGGCCUAGUGAGGAUAAGAAUCAUGCUCCAAACUGAACAGUUUGAUUCUUACAGUCAUCUGGUUUCAUUUGACUCUUUUAUUUUGGUUAAAAUGAUUUUCCUUUGUCUAUUGGAUGAUUGACUGAACAUCUUUUUGGCCCACUCAAAUGACCCAACCUCAGUACGGAGACCUACCUUUAUAUUCCUCAAUAUGUAUGAGGCACCAGUACAAUUUAGAGGGGAGCACAGAUUUCCAAAGUGUUUCUCUUAUUGAAACAAAGCGAGAACCAUAAAGGGAAGAAGAUUCUGGGAAAGGAAGUUCCUGGCUUCUCUCAUAGAGUGCAGUAAAGCCCUUGAAAGAAGAAGUUCUGGGGUUGCUGAAUUGUUAAGAGACAGUCCAGAAAAUAUAAAUGGUCAAUGUGUGUCCCUACCCAGGGAAGGAUCAUGUAACAUGUCCUAAAAGGAUCAGGAAACAGAAGAAUUGGUAUUUAAGCUGACUCUUAAGGAGAAAUAGAAAUGUUCAGGCAGUGAAUGUAGAGGAAGUAAAGUAAGAAAGGUGGGGUGAGCAGACAGCUUGUGCACAGGCAUGAGUAGGCAGGAACACAUGGCGUGGGUAGGUAGGAGCACAGACAUGGGUAGGUGGGAGCACAUGGCAUGUGUAGGUGGGAGCACAUGGCAUAUACCAUGAGCUGUAAUAGCUGAGGAGGAUUGUGGUCUGCAAUGCAGCAUGGGAGAGGAAUGGAGGAAGAGGAGUCUGGAAAGGUCGCAUAAGAAGCUUAAAGGCAAUAGUGUGCCUCAUGAGGGAAUAACAUGGGUAAAUUUGCCUUUUAAGCAACAGAGAGUAGUCAGGCAACAAUGAAGGAGAACAACUCUAAACAGUGCAACUGGUUCCCCUUUAAGAAAGUGUACAUGAGAAAUGAUGGAAAGUGACUGAAAUCUGAAAACUUGAACAUUGAACUAAAAAUAUGACCAGAUUAAUGAGUUUGAUAAGUUGGGAAGGUGUCCUGGGGUCCUGACUUGGGUAGCUAGUGUUUCAUCCAUUGCACUUAAAGACACAGGAAGCUAGGAAAACUGAGGAAAAUUAUGAAUUUGGUUUUAAAGCAUUUGGAGUUGGCAACCUGUGAACUAUUCACAUAACACUGUUCAGUGUACAGUUGUGAAUAUGAGUGUCAAACUCAAGGAAGAAGCCUUGGUGGAAAUGUGUUUGUGAGUAAUUAUUGAAGCAUGGUUGAGAUACAGGCGUGGAUGAAUGUUUGUUGAAAAAACAAGCCAUGUCAUGAAUAAUAAACCUCUUAUUAAGUAGUUAAUGAGAGCUUGGCAUUAUGCUUCAACUGUGGUUUUUUUAAUAAGUAGAUAAUAAUUUGUUCCUGCCCACACAGCAAUAAGUAAAUAUCUCGGCAUGUGUGUAGUUCAGAUUCUAAACUUAACGAAGUAGGGCAGCCCGGGUGGCUCAAGGUUUAGCGCCGCCUUUGGCCCAGGGCCUGAUCCUGGAGACCCGGGAUCGAGUCCCACAUCAGGCUCCCUGCAUGGAGCCUGCUUCUCCCUCUGCCUGUGUCUUUGCCUCUUUCUCUCUCUCUGUGUUUCUCGUGAAUGAAUGAAUAAAAUCUUUUUAAAAAAUUUAAAAAAUUUAAACUUAAGGAAGUAUAAGUAAUAUACUCACAAGGAACUGGACAUAAAUAGUAAAAAUUGUGCAUAUUUUACAACUAGAUUUUUUGCUGGACUCUCAGUGACAAAUCUCACAACCUUCAGGAUGUUGGCCUCAUUUUCUUUGCGUAGUGCUAUGGGGAAAAUGGAAACUAGAAAAGCAUAUAGACUGGUCAAUGGACCAACCACAGCACCACCCUGCCUCUUGACUUCUGUUAGUUCAAUAAGUUGAAAGAGGAUGGUGGAGUAACAUUUUAUUCAUUCAUUCUACAAUAUUUAUUGGUCAACUUCCAGGUGCAGGCACUGAGCUUGCUACUAGAGAUUUAAUGAAAAGACUGCCAGAUCGUCAGUGACAAGACAGGACCAAGUCACUCCUGCAGAGGCAGUGCCAUGUUGAAGGGGGCCCUCUGCUGGACUGAAGAAAACAUAUUCGUUUUUGCCACAUUACUGCAUUGAAUAAACUUCAGGCUUCUUGGACUAAACAAAAGAAGGAAGAAUUAAAGACAAAUCUCCAUUUUCAUCAGGAUUAGGGCAGGAUGACUGAGAGAUCCUCAAUGUCUGUGCACCUCUACUACUCAAACUGCAGUCCAUGGACCAGAAGCAUCAGUAUCAACUAGGAAGUUGUUAAAAAUGAAAUUUGGACCCCAUUCCAAACCUGCUGAAUCC